CGCCUGUUUAUCAAAAACAUCGCCUCUUGUAAACUAUAAGAGGUCCAGCCUGCCCAGUGACAUAGUUCAACGGCCGCGGUAUCCUAACCGUGCGAAGGUAGCGUAAUCACUUGUUCUUUAAAUGAGGACUAGUAUGAAUGGCAUCACGAGGGUUAAACUGUCUCCUUUUUUUGAUCAGUGAAACUAAUCUCCCCGUGAAAAAGCGGGGAUUUUUGUAUAAGACGAGAAGACCCUAUGGAGCUUUAAACGAACUAACAUCCGCUACUACUUAAUUAACUCCUGAGCCAAAGUAAAAAAUAUAGCAAUCUGAUUAGAAGUUUUCGAUUGGGGUGAUCACGGAGUAAAAAAUAACCUCCACGUUGAACGGGUUAAAUCCCUGAGCAAAAAGCAACAGCUUUACGCACUAACAUAUUAACACCUUUGACCCAUUUUAUGAUCAACGAACCAAGUUACCCUAGGGAUAACAGCGCAAUCUACCUCGAGAGCCCAUAUCGACAGGUAGGUUUACGACCUCGAUGUUGGAUCAGGUUGUCCCAGUGGUGCAGCCGCUACUAAUGGUUCGUUUGUUCAACGAUUAAAACCCUAC
rnacentral:rRNA from 1 species